AUACGAAGGGGGCUAGCGUUGUUCGGAAUUACUGGGCGUAAAGCGCGCGUAGGCGGACUGAUCAGUUGGGGGUGAAAUCCCAGGGCUUAACCCUGGAACUACCUCCAAUACUGUCAGUCUUGAGUUCGGGAGAGGUGAGUGGAAUUCCUAGUGUAGAGGUGAAAUUCGUAGAUAUUAGGAAGAACACCAGUGGCGAAGGCGGCUCACUGGCCCGAUACUGACGCUGAGGCGCGAAAGCGUGGGGAGCAAACAGGAUUAGAUACCCUAGUAGUCC
rnacentral:rRNA from 1 species